AGUGAACGCUGGCGGUAGGCCUAACACAUGCAAGUCGAACGGCAGCACAGUAAGAGCUUGCUCUUACGGGUGGCGAGUGGCGGACGGGUGAGGAAUACAUCGGAAUCUACUUUUUCGUGGGGGAUAACGUAGGGAAACUUACGCUAAUACCGCAUACGACCUACGGGUGAAAGCAGGGGAUCUUCGGACCUUGCGCGAUUGAAUGAGCCGAUGUCGGAUUAGCUAGUUGGCGGGGUAAAGGCCCACCAAGGCGACGAUCCGUAGCUGGUCUGAGAGGAUGAGCAGACACACUGGAACUGAGACACGGUCCAGACUCCGACGGGAGGCAGCAGUGGGGAAUAUUGGACAAUGGGCGCAAGCCUGAUCCAGCCAUACCGCGUGGGUGAAGAAGGACUUCGGGUUGUAAAGCCCUUUUGUUGGGAAAGAAAAGCAGCAGGUUAAUACCCCGCUGUUCUGACGGUACCCAAAGAAUAAGCACCGGCUAACUUCGUG
rnacentral:rRNA from 1 species